rnacentral:lncRNA from 1 species
GUUUUUUUUAUUUAAAUGCUGUCCAAAUUAUCAAUAUUUAAAAUAUUUAUAGGAAAUUAACACAUUUUAUAUUUGACUUGAAAGUUAUUGUUUAGCAUUCUUUGAUCAGCUUCAUUAUACAGAGUACGUUUAAAUCUGAGUGGUUGUGCUGUACUACUGAGUUUUUUCUAGAAUUUAGGGGGUUUGUAUAAGUUACCCAAGAUUUGUUUCUUUUCUAAUUUCUACUUAAUUUUUUUUUACAGUUCAACAGAAGAGCAGUUUCAUUGGCAAACGCAAGAUGGUCAGAAGGCUAUAGAGGAUGAGCUCACAACUGGUCUUGAGCUGGUGGACUCCUGUAUUAGAUCACUGCAGGAAUCAGGAAUACUUGAUCCACAGGACUACUCAACUAGUGAAAGGCCCAGCCUUCUAUCCCAGAGUGCACUUCAGCUCAAUUCCAAACCUGAAGGGUCUUUCCAGUAUUCAGCGAGCUACCAUAGCAACCAGACCCUUGCCCUGGGUGAAACAGCAACAACACAGCUCCCAGCCCGCAGCAGUCAAGCCAGAGCUGCCAUUCAGAGCUACAGCCAGGGCACAACUAGUCGAGCAGCCCAUUUAGCUGGCUCUGAACCUUCUCAGUCAAGAGAGUCCUUUGUGCCAAGCCAUGGGAGCGCGUUCCAUUUGCCUGAUUCCCAGCAUUCUUCAACACUUUAUUACUCCAGCUCCACUCUGCCAGCCCAGA